rnacentral:piRNA from 1 species
UGCCACAAACGGUCUUCAAAACUGUAGUAU